rnacentral:lncRNA from 1 species
UCAAAAAAUAAAGAAGUAUCGUUAAUCUCUUCAUGCUCCUUCCAAGCUCAAAGUACCAUUUGUACAAAUAAGAAUCCCCUUCGUUACAUGAUUUCUUCUUCAUAUAGAUAUAUAUAGGAUCUAUGGGGCAAUUAAUUAGAAGUACAUUUUGUGUUAUAGCCCUUCCUAUCUGAUAGAAAAGGAUCCCAUGAUCCUGAACCGAUCUUACCUGGGAUCAUAAAUCCUAAGUUUGUCUAUGAAGAGCGGAUCAAAUUGUAUUAGUUUCUAUAACUGAUUUCUUCUGUGUAAUACUAAUCGAUAGGACCUCAUUGGUAUGUUCUACAAGAUCUCGUGCAUUGGAACCCAUGGUAAUGGACCCAAAUCCGUUAGUAUGGAACAUUUUCUUUUCCAAGUGAAAUCCCCUAGUAUAUGAAAGAGUGAAAAAGUGCUUUUGUUGUUAUGGAAUAAGAAGCCUUCGUAGCUUAAUGCACGUAUUUAAUUUAUUCGGAGCUAUUAGAGCGGGAUCCACUUUUUGGGGAAUAUGAGUCGAAGCAAUAACAAGAAUAUUUCUAGUAGAACAUCUUUCACAAUCCCUGGAGAGAUGGUUCACUAAUAGACCGAGGGAUAAGUCAUUCGACUCAUUCACAUCCAGAUCAUGAAUGUUUGGAAUCCAUAUUAUGUAAGGAUACAUUGCUUUUGCUAAGUCAAGGUCACGAUCGAUAUCGUCACUAGCAUCAAGAUUGUCACUAUCAUCAAUAUCAUCACUAUCAUCAAUAUCGAUCUCAUCAAGAAGAAAACCUUUAGGCUUGUUAUACAAGAACUUGUUCAGAAAUACCGUAAUGAAAGAAACAUACAAGUUUGCCGCUAGGUAUUUGACUGAAUAGGAUCGUCCAGUUCCUAUAGAACCUAUCACUAAAAUACCCCUAGAGGGGGAUAAGGCUAAGCGGAGCGAAAAGGGUUUUCCAUGAGAUGGGAAAUGAAAACUAUUUUCCCUAUGAAAAGUUUGUGAAUAAGUGAUUGUCUGAUAAUGAGCAAGGAAUAUCUAUCUUUCUGCUAAACAGGAUGGAUUGAACUCAUAAUUCAUUAGAUGCUUUUUAUGAAUGUCAACUAAGUAUCGUAAGUAAAUUGCUCCCGGUCGUUCAAUCAUUUGAUAACCAAAGUCAUUCUUUGAUAAAUGAUCACUAUGAGUCAGACUCAAUAGAAUUUGAUCAAUCCUAUUUUCUGUCGUUAAGGUGGAGAACUGAACCAAGAAUUCUAUUUCUUUAUUAUGAAUCGAAUCACUGUUCGCGAACCAGGAUUCUAUUUUCUCAUCAAUCCAAUCCCCGUUCACAUAUUUUCUUUUUCUUAUCAAUGAAUAGAUCUCUUUACAUGUAUGACUUUGAUGUCUCGUAUUUCUCAAAAAAAUGAUUUGAUUGAUGGGAUUUGGUAUGAGAUCGAUGAUGUCGAUGAGAUUGAUAUUCCAAUCUUUCUUCUUAAAACAUAUUGAUUUGACCCCAUAACGGGACCAAACAUAUUGCCGCCAGAAGUAGAACCCCAUAUUUCUUCUAGAGAAUCCCCUAAUUGUUCCAGAGAAACUAGAAAGAGAUUCUUUAACCAAAAAGAAUUUGGUUCAGAUGUAGGAUACCUAUCCAGAAGUUUUUGCAACUCAAUCAUAGAAGAUGGAAUCAUCAAAGAUUUGAACCUUUCGAACUCUGUUUGUAACUCACUAGAGGCCUGGGAAACAAAUAGAAGAUGUGUACGAACAAGAUAUCCAGCAACAAGAAAAAAGAAAAGGAUUGAAUAGAGGAACUCCCGAGCAUUUGGCGAUCUCAGAUAUGUUGAUAUCCAUGGUGACUCAUUAUUUCAAUGAAUCAUUUUUUUGGACAGAAGAAGAUUAUGUAAACACUUACUCGAGAUCUCACUUAUUGGAUUCCAUUGUUGAAGACAAUUUUUUCUGAAGAAUUAGCCAUGAUAUACUUGAUCCAUGCAUAAUACUAGGAAAACUGGAUACAAAUUUUUGACCGCUACUUAGUAUUGGCAAUAGGUCUGAAAAAGUAUCUAAAAAUAUCAAAUUUAGAUAUUUUUACCCUGUCAAAGUAAGGAACCACGGCAUAUAUGUUUGGAAUAGAUUCCAUUUUGAGUAGAAUAGAUUCCAUUUUGAGAGAGUUGAAAAAGCACUAUCUCGUUGAAAGGUUCUAUACAUCUGCCCUUUCUUAAUGCAUUUCUUUAGACAAAGACUCUAUUUUUUCUUUUUUUAGAUUAUAAAUCUUUCUCAGAACAUGGAGUGUGAAUCAAACCCAAUUGAAAUUGAGAUACUGAUGCAAGUUCUUCCCUUCUGGAUCAGAUUGAUUCACAUCUGAAAGAGGUUGACAAUAAGUUCAUUCAAAAUUGACUAUUUGCCCAUCUGUUAUAGGUGUUCAAGAAAUGUCUGCAAUCGAGUAAAUAGCUCUACGAACGAAUGGAUCAAAUCGACUUGGAAAAUAGAAAGAUUUGUACAAGUUAUACGUUUCGUCACCACUUUGUGGAAAAUCAUUAGGUAUGAAUAUGUUACAUACCUAUAAUUCGAUUGGUGAAAAAGUAUCUCUCCCCUAAAAAACAUGUUUUUUACCGACGCACAAAGAAAACAUUUUGUUGUGAAUGAAUAAGAUAUUGAGGAAUUGUCCAUACGUAAAAUUAGAAUUAUCGAUACGGUCCUUUUCCACAGAAAAAGGGAAUUUUGUGUUCCAAUAAAAGUAGAAGUGCUCGGGAUUAUUCAAGAAUCGAAGUCGAUUUGCUUUAUAAAAAGAAGAUAUCAAUGAACUUCAAUGAAAUGGUUUCACAGGAUUCAACCAAUUGUCUUGAUCGUGGAAUAUCAUUGAGAAAUAGGAAUCCGGGUUAUCAAAGGAUUUCCUGCGAUUAUUUCUAGUAUGGAAUGAGUCAAUCAUCCACUUUGGUAUCUUAUUGAACAAAAAUGGUGAUAUUGUUUCUCCAUUGAUCAAGAAUUUCAAUUUUGGGGAAGUAUCAUGAUCGUCCAAUAAGAAGGGUUUCAAUUUUUGGAAAUGAACAACUUGAAGACCUAUUGAUUCUAACAACUGAUUGCAGAGUUGAUCAUCCAGACCUUUCAAUUCAUGUAUGUAGAUCUCGGACCUAGUAAUGGGUAUAUUUUCGAAACUCACACAAAAAAAAGCAAGUGCAUAAGACAAAAAUAAAAGCAACUUGGACAAAAAAAGAGGUGACUUGGACAAAAAGAAACGAAUUAGCUUAGACAAAUAUUUUUUUGUCAAUAACCUCAGACAAAUCAAUCAAAUAUUGAUUAAAAAUUAAUCAAUUGAACACUACUUUAAAACGGCUCUUUUACUCUAAAACUGACUGUUCCAAAUGUUCCUGGAAAUUCUUGCUCCCAUUGGACCAUUUGUAUCUAUAUGCAUCAGGAUCCCGAUUCAUGGAUCUCUCGGUUUGAGAAAUCAAAAUAAGAGGCUCGAACCAUUUCUUCUAACUCUUUUUCAAAUUUGAUAAAUAUUGGUUAAUUGUAUAUUUCAUUAUAGUUCUAUGAUUCAAAGUAUCCUUUCCUAUUUGAUAUCUUUGAAUUCCACAUUCGAAGUUGCGAUCAGAUCUGUUCAUUAAAAAGAAUUGAUUCAAUACAUUUCUUAUGUACCCAUAGGUACUAUAUUUGAUUUGAAUCAGAUUUUUGAUCAAUCUAUAUUGAGUGACUGCCUCCAUUAUGUUGUUGCUAGAAAAUACCACUAUUUUUGGUUUUAGAUCUUCUAAAUCAUUCCCACAGGAGAUCCGAACCCAUUUUUUUCUGAUCCUUCGAGAAAAAUAUUCAUUCUCUUCAUAAAAAAUAGGAGGUAGAACUAAUAAAGAUUUCUUUUUAUUCAUCCCUGGUCUCAUUCAAGAAUUGUUUUUGAUCUAAUGCACAGGAAUCAAUAGAAAAGGCAAAUCCCUUAUGAUACACCAGAUCCAGCUCGAUUAUUGAUAGAGUGAAUAGAUCUGCCAUUUCUUGAAAUCCCUCUUCUAAUUCAAAAUCAUAGUGUAACUUGUAUCAUCCCCUAUUCCGGUCAUGGAAUAGAUGAAAUAAAUCAAAAAAUGGAUUUUUGUUCAAGAAUGAAAUCUUAUUGGAACUGUCCAUAUCUGGUUCAUUCUUCGAAACCAUAUCACAUCCCAGAUCUGAUGAAAUAGGAUGAAUUGAGAUGGUAUUUUGUAAAUAUGUAAUUAUCUUGAAUAUAUUAACCAUUUCUCUAUUUUCGGAUCCCUGGAAGGGACAAAAGAAAGGUUUUGUUAUUUCUUCAACAAUUUUUGAUCUUUAGUGGACCUCUCAGUAGGAUUCGAACCCAGAUAAAGUCCUGACCAUCUAUCAGAGAAAAAGGAACAAACGGAUCCUAUAGGAUUCCCUAGAAAUUCUUCGAUUUCUUCCGAAAAUAGAUGAUUAAUCCUCUGCUUCUCACGUUCCGUGAAUAGCCGGGACAUUGAGAAAUAUCUAGAAAGGCAUUUCAGGAAUCGGCCUGAUUCUUUCUCUUUUCAUUCUGUUUGAAGAAAGGAAGGAUCCCAAAGAAUCAAUCUUUCUUUUCAUUGUUGAAUCUCUCUUUGAUUAAUCAAUAUGUGAAAUUCUGAAUCCUCAUUACUAAUGGAAUCCAAAUGAUCUCAGGAUUGAUAAGAAGAUCUUUUUAGUUGGCUAGAAUCCAUUACUUGAAUGAAACUAGAUCUUGUGGAAUCAUAUUGAAUAUUUGACGAUACAUUCUGUACCGUGCUAAUAAACCGAUCCUUGUUUACCAACCACAGAUUGUCUAACCAAAUCCAAUUCUCUCUCGAUACGUUCCAAAAAAAAUCUGAUUCGGGCAAAUUCUUCCCCCAACUAACGAAGAGAUCUUGGCGGAAUUGCCACAUAUGAAAUUGAGCACAGUUUUGCAAAGAAAUAGCCCACUUGUUUCUCGAGAAGAGAUAGGAAACAUGAUCAAUAUCAUUUGAUUGAAUAGUUGACCCAACCUCUUGUUUCACUAAGAUUAUGAAUAGCGGUCCCGAUAUUAAGUUGAUUCUAUUUUGACUCAUCCUCAGAGAAAGACAAUCAAAAAAUUCCCAAUCAUGGUCCUUGCGGAUCGAUAAUCCAUAUAAUAUACAAAAAAAACUCCAGAUAUUUGAGAUAUUUAUCUUUAAAUAAGAUCUCAAUUCCAUCGAUGAUUUCAUUAGAUAUCUUACAACUAGAAUCCCUCUUUUUUCCGAUCCAGUUCCUCCACCAACGCGAACCCAGUUAGAUUCAAGCAUGCUAAACUUUUUAGUUAUUGGGAGAACCCAAGUACUCUCUUUCGAAUUCAGGAAACAACUCUCAGAGAUCUUUUUUCCUUUGCGAAGAUACAGGAGCGAAACAAUCAACCUAUAGAUAUUGGAAGACCCAAUGGAUUCUUCCAAUGUAUCAUUUCUGGGUCCAAUAGAAUUCAUAAGUAUUGGAAGAAGCCCUAACAAAUAGAGAUUUUUUCUUUCGACCAUAUUUCGAUUAUUAAUAUGAUAUAUAAGGACCGCUACUACAAAGAGUAUUACACCCUUGAUCGUGAAAUAUCGAUUGCUUGUUGAACCCUGUGAAUUGCGUGAAAGUAGGAUACUCCAAAUUCGGGGGUCAAAGAGUUUUAGAAAACGUUCUUGGUGGAAAAAAAUGUGAAUGAGGGAUCCCACUGAAUUGAAUUGGGUCCAUGAAUCUAAGAAAUGGUGAGAAUUCUUGAUCUCUCUCAAUAUCUCUCUAAAUUCGAAAAUCCAGGAUUUGAAUUGAUGUUCUCUCAUUGAUUCCUCCUAAAUUGCAUUGUAUUGAUUCCUCCUAAAUUGCAUUGAUUUAUCCUAAAGAUUUCAUUUCAAUUGGAGUUUGGUUAUUCACCAUGUACGAGGAUCCCCGCUAAGCAUCCAUGGCUGACUGGUUAAAGGGCCCAACUCAUAAUUGGCGAAUUCGUAGGUUCAAUUCCUAAUGGAUUAACGCAAAUGGGACUCUCCAAUAAGUCUAUUGGAAUUGGCUCUGUAUCAAUAGAAUUGCAUCAUCCAUGCAUAACGAAUUGAUUUGGAAUUGGCUUUGUAUCUAUGGAAUCGCAUCAUCCAUACAUAACGAAUUGAUGUGGUAUAUUCAUAUCACAAUAUAUGAAUACAUAACGAAUUGAUGUGGUAUAUUCAUAUCAUAAUAUAUGAACAGUAAGAACUAGUAUUCUUAUUGAGAGUAUAACUCAUAGGGUAGAAAAUCGAUUUAUGGAUGGAAUCAAAUAUGCUGUAUUUACAGACAAAAGUAUUCGGUUAUUGGAGAAAAAUCAUAUAAUUCUAAUGUCGAAUCAGGAUCAACUAGGACAGAAAUAAAACAUUGGGUCAAACUCUUCUUUGGUGUCAAGGUAAUAGCUAUGAAUAGUCAUCGACUUCCAGGAAAGAGUAGAAGAAUAGGACCUACUAUGGGACAUACAAUGCAUUACAAACGUAUGAUCAUUACGCUUCAACCGGGUUAUUCUAUUCCACCUCUUAGAAAGAAAAGAACUUAAAUAAAAAUACUUAAUAGCAUGGUGAUACAUUUAUACAAAACUUCUACCCCGAGCACAUGCAAUGGAACCGUAGAAAGUCAAGUGAAAUCUAGUCCAUGAAAUAAUUUGAUCUAUGGAUAGCGUCGUUAUGGUAAAGGUCGUACUACCAGAGGAAUCAUUACGGCAAGGCAUAGAAGGGGAGGUCAUAAGUGUCUAUACCAUAAAAUUGAUUUUCGAUGGAAUGAAAAAGACAUAUAUGGUAGAGUCGUAACAAUAGAAUACGACCCUAAUCGAAAUGCAUACAUUUGUCUCAUACACUAUGACGAUGGUGAGAAGAGAUAUAUUUUACAUCCCAGAGGGGCUAUAAUUGGAGAUACCAUUGUUUCUAGUACAGAAGUUCCUAUAAAAAUGGGAAAUGUCCUACCUUUGAGUGCGGUUUGAACUAUUGAUUUACGUAAUUAGAAAUAACCAAUUAGGUUUACGACGAAACCUAGAAAUCAAUCACUGAUCCAAUUUGAGUACCUCUGCAGGAUAGACCUCAACAGAAAACUAAAGAGCAACGGAAGAAAGUGAUUGAGUUCAGUAGUUCCUUAUAUAAAAUUAUUGACUAUAGAGAUAUAGUAAUAUGGAGAAGACAAAAUUAUUUCAAGCACCGACAGAACCGGAAGCGCCCCUUCUUUCAAAGAGAGGAGGAUGGGUUAUUCACAUUUCAUUUGAUGGUCAAAGGUGAAUUAAAAGUUAAGCAUUGGGAAUUCUAAAGAUUCCCCUAGGGGAAAAUAGAGAUGUCUCCUACGUUACCCAUAAUAUGUGGAAGUAUCGACGAAAUUUCAUAGAGUCAUUCGGUCUGAAUGCUACAUGAAAAACAUAAGCAAGAUGACUGAAUCGGAAGAUCCAGGAUGUAGAAGAUCAUAACAUGAGUGAUUCAGCGGAUUUGGAUUCAUAUAUAUAUCCACCCAUGUGGUACUUCAUUCUACGAUAUAUAUAAGAUCCAUAUGUAUAGAUAUCAUCAUCUACAUCCAGAAAGUUGUAUGCUUUGGAAGAAGCUUGUACAGUUUAGGAAGGGGUUUUGAUUGAUCAAAAGAAGAAUCUACUUCAACCGAUAUGCCCUUUGGCACGGCCAUAUAGAACAUAGAAAUCACACUAAGAAAGGGUGGACAAUUAGCUAGAGCAGCGGGUGCUGUAGCGAAACUGAUUGCAAAAGAGGGGAAAUCGACCACAUUAAAAAUACCUUCUGGGGAGGUCCGUUUGAUAUCCAAAAAUUGCUCAGCAACAGUCAGACUAGUGGGGAAUGUUGGGGUGAACCAGAAAAUUUUGGAUAGAGUCGGAUCUAAGCAUUGGAUAGGUAAGCGUCCUGUAGUAAGAGAAGUAGUUAUGAACCCUGUAGACCAUCCCUAUGGGGGAGGUGAAGGGAGAGCCCCAAUUGGUAGAAAAAAACCCAAAACCCCUUGGGGUUAUCCUGCAAUUGGAAGAAGAAGUAGAAAAAGCGGAUCUAAGCGUUGGCUAGGUAAGCGUCCUGUAGUAAGAGGAGUAGUUAUGAACCCUGUAGACCAUCCCCAUGGGGGUGGUGAAGGGAGAGCCCCAAUUGGUAGAAAAAAACCCACAACCCCUUGGGGUUAUCCUGCACUUGGAAGAAGAAGUAGAAAAAGGAAUAAAUAUAGUGAUAAUUUGAUUCUUCGUCGCCGUAGUAAAUAGGAGAGAAAAUCGAAUUUAAUUCUUUGUUUUUACAAAAACUUUACAAAAAAAAAAAAAAAAUAGGAGUAAGCUUGUGACACGUUCACUAAAAAAAAAUCCCUUUGUAGCCAAUCAUUUAUUAAAAAAAAUUGAUAAGCUUAACACAAAAGCAGAAAAAGAAAUAAUAGUAACUUGGUCCCGGGCAUCUACCAUUAUACCCACAAUGAUCGGUCAUACUAUUGCUAUCCAUAAUGGAAAAGAGCAUUUGCCUAUUUAUAUAACGGAUAGUAUGGUAGGCCACAAAUUGGGAGAAUUUUCACCUACAUUAAAUUUUAGAGGACAUGCAAAAAUCAAUAAUAGAUCUCGUCAUUAACGUUAAUAUUAAUAAAAAAAUCUAGAUGCUUAUGAUUUAGUAGUAGGAGGCAAACCUUAUGCUAAAGAAGAAAAAAAUGGAAGUAUAUGCUUUAGGUCAACAUAUAUCUAUGUCUGCUGACAAAGCAUGAAGAGUAAUUGAUCAAAUCCGCGGACGUUCCUAUGAGGAAACGCUUAUGAUACUAGAACUCAUGCCCUAUCGAGCAUGUUAUCCCAUUUUGAAAUUGGUUUAUUCUGCAGCAGCAAAUACUAGUUACAAUAUGGGUUCCAGCGAAACCAAUUUAGACAUUAGUAAAGCCGAAGUCAAUGGAGGUACUACGGUGAAAAAAUUUAAACCUUGAGCUAGAGGACGUUGUUUUCUGAUAAAAAGAUUGACCUGUCAUAUAACUAUUGUAAUGAAAGAUAUAUCUUUAUAUGAUGAAUAUGUCGAGAUGUAUUCGUUAAAUAAAACAAGAUGUUAAAAAACCUCUACAGCUAUGACGUAUCAUGAUAUGUAUAAUAGUGGGGGAUUAUGGGACAAAAAAUAAAUCCACUUGGUUUCAGACUGGGUACAACCCAAGGUCAUCAUUCCCUUUGGUUUUCAAAACCAAAAAAUUAUUCUAAAGGUUUACAAGAAGAUUAAAAAAUAAGACAUUGUAUCAAGAAUUAUGUACAAAAGAAUAUGAGAAUGUCCUCUAGCGUCGAAGGAAUUGCAUGUAUAAAGAUUCAAAAAAGAAUCGAUUUGAUCCAGGUCAUAAUCUUUAUGGGAUUCCAUAAAUUAUUAAUAGAAAGUCGACUAUGCAGAAUCGAAGAAUUACAAAUGACCUUACAAAAAGAAUUUAAUUGUAUAAACCGAAAACUGAACAUUGCUGUGACAAGAAUUGGAAAACCUUACGGAAACCCUAAUAUUCUUGCAGAAUUUAUAGCUAGACAAUUAAAGAAUAGAGUUUCAUUUUGAAAAGCAAUGAAGAGGGCUAUUGAAUUAACAGAACAAGAAGAUACAAAAGGAAUUCAAAUACAAAUUUCGGGGCGUAUCGACGGAAAAGAAAUUGCACAUGUCGAAUGGAUCAGAGAAGGUAGGGUUCCCCUACAAACGAUUCGAGCUAAAAUUGAUUAUUGCUCUUAUACAGUUAGAACUAUCUAUGGAGUAUUGGGCAUCAAAAUUUGGAUAUUUCUAGAUGAGGAAUAAUUUUACUACUUGUCUUUCCCUUCUAUCCAAUGAUUGUACAAAAAAAGACCAAUUCAUUCUUUUUCUAAUCAAUCAAGGGGAACAUUUCUAAUUCUUAAUUCUAUAAGGUUGAAUAAAAAUUUGAUUGACCAUUUGAUAUAAUUGCUAUGCUUAGUGUGUGACUCAUUGGUUAAUUUAGGGUUAGGAUUAAAAAGACCAGCCUAUAUAGUAUGAAUUAAAAACUAUAGAACUAAUAACCAACCCAUCACUUCGCAUUAUCUAGAUCUAAAGAACCAGUCAAAAUAUGAUAUAUAGGUUAUAUCUUUGUAGCAACUGAAAUCUUUUGCAUAAAUAGAAAAUGAAAUCUGAUUCUAUGUUGUAAAGCAAAAUAAAGAAAAAAGAUGUGGAUAAAUGGUACGAUGAGAGAAAGAGAGAAAAAGAAUACCAAUGAUAUAAAAUUCCAAUAUGUAAGGUCUAUGAGUAAUCUCAUGAAAGGCAGUGUAAUAAAGCAUCAAUAUGCAUUCAUACCAUAGUAAAACGAAUCUUCUUUAUAGAAGUAUAGAAAUAUAACAAAAAAUCAAGUGCUUCGAGCCAAUAAAGACUGAGAAGAUUGACUCAAGAACCAAUUUCAUUCUGAGCUCCAUUGUAGAAUUCGGACCUAACCAUUAAGUCAGAAGUGAUGGGAACGACGGAACUUGUGAAUGCAAAAGAUUCUAUUGAACAAGGAAUCUUAAUGAUUCACUGGUCGGGAUGGCGGAACGAACUAGAGAUUAAGUCAUGUAUUCUGAGAUCUGAGAAAUCACGAGUUAACCCUAUAAAUGAAAUGGGGAUUAAAAGAAUAAAUAUUCGCCUGUGAAAACUUUUUCUAUUGAAAAAUUUAGGACAACAUAAUAAAGGACAAAAUAAGGAUUUGGUAUAAUAUACAAUUUUUUAUAUUUCUAUUCAUAAAACUAAAAAGUUUAGUUAUCUAUUCAAACAAGAUAUAAAAAUUACAAAUAGAUUUAAUGAAAUCUCAAAAAAGCCCACGUUCAAGGUAUUACUCAGUAAAUACAUAUAUAUCUUAACUUAAGAUUGACUCUUCUAGCUUAAUUCAAAUUGAAUUUUUUGGAAUCCUUUUAUUCACGGGGAGAUGGAUGAGAAGGAACUCUCACCUCCGGUUUUGUAGUAGAGAUGGAAUUCAGAAACAACCAUCAACUAUAACCCCAAAAUAACCAGAUUCCAUAAACAACAUAGAGGAAGAAUGAAGGGAAUAUCUUAUCAAGGUAAUCAUAUUUCUUUCAGUAAAUAUGCUCUUCAAGCACUUGAACCUACUUGGAUUACAUCUCGACAAAUAGAACCAGGCCGACGAGCAAUGACACGAAAUACAUAGCAUGGUGGAGAGAAGUCAACUCCUUUAACUUUCCCUUUGUCAGUAUCAUUUUCCUCACUUCCCCCAGGGUUUUUUGAGGUAGAAGCUCUGUGUGAGACAGAUCUUCGGAAUGAAGAAUUUCUAGAGGCGUCAAAACCUAGGAAUUUGAGAUCAAUGGAUCCGUCAGGGUGCUGGAUAACCCGUUCGAUCUGAGAUUUUUCUAGAUAGGUAGGGAGAGGUUGAGUGAUAGCAUCAAAGUACCACUCAUUGUUAUGCAUGAUAUCGUUCCAGAGGAGAGCUUUAGGAACAAAGAUAUUGCUUUUGUUUUUGUUGUCCUCCAUGAGGGUAGUAACGCCUAUAGGGCUCGUGAUUCUAGCUUUGGGAGCUAGUGUUGUACCCUUAAGCCGAUAAUAUACUCGGUAUAUUAUUGCUAUUUCUCUAGUAUUAUCCUUACUGUUCAUGUUUUUUGUUUUAACAUUAAGUGUUAAAACAUCCAUGAUGUUAGGAUCAUUAAUAUCUACUGAGAAAUUGGGGUAGCAAUUAAAAUAUACUGGGCCAUCGGCUAGGUUACUUUGAAUUACUCCUAAGAGUGAAUUGUCAAAGUUCAAUAGACGGGCAUUUCUUAGGAUAGCACAGACUGGGAUGUCAAGACCCUGCCUAAAAAGUUGCUUAAUAGCCACUUGAACAAGACCAAUAUGAAGAUAAUUAAACUGAUUUUUAAAUCGGUUUAUGUCAAGUUCAUUUAGUAAUUGGAUAAUUUCCAAAAAAUUAUUAAUGGGGACUGUAGACUCAGAGGUCUUGAUGUUAUGUUUUUUUAAAAAAUUAAAUUUACCGAUUUGAUAAAUCGUUUUAAUUUUCUCUUAAUGUUAUCUUAGCGACGGGACCACCAAUAAGGUCGAAUGCUUACCUAAGCUGAGACCAUACUUUUCAGGCUGACCAAUGUCCUAAACCGGAGAUUAAUCGGAUACUUCAAACACUUAGAGAAAACGAAUACCCCAUACAUUAAAAAGAUUAUUAUAGGACAAGAUAUAUUAGAAUAAUCUAUGUAGAAAUAUCAUCAUCAAUAAAUUAAAGUAAUAGGUAUCUUUUAUGAAAUUAGUUUUCCCAUGCUCUAGACAAUAUAUGUACUUAGCUGCUCAUGCUAAGUGCAUAUACUGCCAACAUGGCUUUGAUACCAAAGUUUAUUACCAGCAACAUACUCGGCUCCAAGAGGCCCUAGAACACGAGAAUCUCUAUGAUCCAGGUAGCCCUACUGCCUCAGAUAUGGAACCUCCCCCCCCACCAUACCUCGUCAAAAAAUUAGAACGGACCCAUGAUUAGAGGUCAUCAAAUCCAAUGAUGAGUAUACUCCAGACCUCAAAUCUCUUGAGGUUCGCUGGUACCUUCCAAAAGAUGCAAUAAAAAGAAAAUAAUACACCAGUACGUAUUCUACAGAACAACAAAAGGAAUUUGGUCGGCUUUGGAUAGCUGAUAUGAAAAGACUUCGAUGUGACAUCGAAUUCUUCAGAUGAUUUGAAUUCCCUGGGGGAAUGGAAAACCAAAAUGAAUCCCUUCACGUGAUCAUUAAUAAAUGGUACACGCAGAGUAACAAGGUAAUUGAAUCCGUUACUCCUCCCCUUGAAGGGAUAAAAAUUCCUCAUUCUAAUGAGAUCCUCAAUGCUUCACCCUUUAAGAAAAAGCAUGAUAGACCCCUAUCAGCCCCCAUCAACAGAGACCUAGAUAGGAUAGUUGAACAAAACAACUAUACUAAUCAGGUCCUUCAUACUAUCUCCCAGCAAAUAGGAGAUAAUAAGAUCUCGAUGCUUCCUUUCAGCUCACCCACUCCUGAGAAAAGCAUUCCAGGCCCUAAUCUCAUUACCAACCCUAUAUUUAAAAUCCCUGAAUUCAAAAAAGAGAAAUUCCCUAAUCUUAGCGAUGACUUUAAGGUUUCGGGAAAAAUCAUAGAGCAAAUCAAUGAGAAGCUCUCUAAAUUCAAAAUUUCUGAGAAAGGUGAGACCAGCAGCCAAAAGGACUCCCUUUCCAAACUCACCCAUGAACGUUUUUCUACUAAGAAAAACUAUUACAGACGACCCUCUCCUCCAGACGUCCACAGUUUGAAAAAAACCCUUACCUCUCUACUUCUAACCAUGAUGGUAGAGAAAUAACUGAAUAGAAUGUUGAUGGUUUGGCUGAACACCAAAUCUAUAACAAACUCCAUGAAAUAGGUAUUGCUAUCACAGCUUACAAACUUAGAGGGGCUUCUGACAAAGAGGCAGCCACAAUGAUCGUAGCAGGCUUCACUGGUAUGAUAAAACACUAGUGGGACAACUAUUUCACAGAUGAUGUUAAAAGCCUUAUAUAUGAGGCCACGGCUAUGGAAACAGUCGUUGUCAAAAGUGAAAAUGGGCAAGAAAAACUCGAGCAGGUCGUAAAAGAAGACGCCUGUGCUACCCUUCUAUAUCAUAUAGCUAGACAUUUUAUAGGUGAACCCAAAUUAUUUCAAGAUAGGAGUUUAGAAAUCCUUAACAAUCUCACCUGCAAAGAUUUAGCUGACUUUAGAUGGUAUAAAGACACCUUCUUGGUCAAAAUCAUGAUUAGACCUGACUGCAACAAUGACUUCUGGAAAGAACGUUUCAUUAGUCGUCUUCCUCCUCUGUUCGCAGAUAAGGUUAGGACCAAAAUGGGAUAUAAUAAGUUUCAUCACCACAGUAGGGGUAGACCUCUGCACCGACCUUAAGCUUAAGAAACAACUUAAGAAGGACAGCACUUCCAAAUAUGGGCUAGGAACCUUCUACCAAGAUUACGGUUUCACAAAUCUAUCCUCUCCUUCCAAUAAGAAACAUAGGAGAAAAUCCUAUAAGUCUCAUAAAAAAUCCAAACCUAGAAAAGAGUCCUUUAAAAGGGAACUUACAAAACUAGUAGGAAAGCUAGGAAAAAAUUCUCUAAAAAUAAAGAUGCUUGCUGGACUUGUGGCAAAACGGGCCAUAGAGCUAAAGAUUGUAAGUCUGGUAAAAAAAUAAGAUCAACCAAUUAGGUCUCUCUGAAGAAACCAAAGAGAAAUUAUUCUCGAUAAUGGAAGACUCAUCAGAUUCUUCCAACUCUCUUAGCUCCUCUAGUGACGACUAUAGCGACGAGGAAUUCAUCAACGCCACCUACGAGUCCGAUCAAUCCCAUUCUGCCCAAGAUUGCAUUUGUAACGGCACCUUUUGUACUUAUACGAAAAAGACCGUUAACGUUAUCUCUGGAAAUCCCAAAGAAAUCUUGUUUGACAUCAUAGAGCAUAUCCAUGAUGAGGAAACUAGAAAUAAAUACCUUCUAGAACUCAAAAGGAUGAUGCUCUCUCAUGAAGAGAAGCCUCACAAAUCCAUUGUUCAGCCUUUUAGCAUGAAACAGGUUAUGUCUCAAUUCAACAAACCUGUCGAACCAUCUAUAGCUGAUCUUAAAGGAGAAAUUUCCACCCUCAAAGUAGAAAUCAGAGACUUAAAAAUCAGACUUGAUCGGGUAGAACUCAACAUUCAUACAGAACAAGUCUUAAAGAAUGUCUUCUCAACCGAAUCUCCCAAUGAUUCCCUAAUAAUCAAUGAUCAUAUUUCAAAUGAUCAUCUUAAGGAACCCAACUCCUUCCCAGGCUUCGAUUCUCCCUCUACCUCUAAUGCUGCCAUCACAGCCAUUAAAGCUUAUAGCGAACAUAUCGCCGUAAAAAUUAUAGUACACAAAGAUUUUGUUCUUAACAGAGUCGCCCUCUUUGAUACAGGCGCCGACAGCAAUUGUAUCUUCAAGGGUCUUAUACCCACUAAAUAUCUACAAAAAAGCACCUCUCGUCUCUACUCUGCCACCGGAGAAAAGAUGCAAAUCGAUUACAAGCUUUCCAAAGCCCAUAUCUGUAACAAUGGCAUUUGUCUUGUUAAUGAUUUCAUCAUCACUGAAGGUAUCACAGAAGAUAUCAUUCUAGGAAUACCUUUUAUUAAUCAAAUUGGACCUUACACUAGUGAUUUUGAUGGAAUUCACACAACGAUUUUAAAUCAAAAUCUGUUCUUCCCUUUAUUACGGCCCCUCUCUCAAGAAGAAGGCGCCCUUAUUAAAAAAAGGACUUCUUUUAGAAUCAACAGACUUUCUUCGUAUAUUGGUUUUCUUAAACAAGAAAUUCAAAUAAAGAAAAUCGAACAACUUUUAAAAAUCCCAGAGAUGGUAAACAAAAUUAUCAAUCUCCAAAAGACUUUGGAGGAAGAAAUUUGUUCCAAAUUUCCUAAUGCCUUUUGGAAAAGAAAAUGACAUUUAGUAGAACUUCCUUACAUUACUGGUUUCAACGAACAGGCCAUGCCUACUAAGGCCAGACUCAUCCAAAUGAACCAGGAAAUGAUGGAAAUCUGCAAAGACAAAUUAACCAUUUGCUAAAAAAUGGUAUCAUCAGAACCUCGAAUUCUUCUUGGAGUUGCUCUGCCUUCUAUGUCAAUAAUAGUUCCGAAAAGGAGCGAGGAACUCCCAGGCUCGUAAUAAAUUACAAGCCUUUAAAUGCGGUCCUAAAAUGGAUCGGGCAUCCAAUCCCUAACAAAAGGGAUCUUUUGAAAAGAACUUUCAAAGCCAACCUUUACAGUAAGUUUGAUAUGAAGUCAGGAUUCUGGCAGAUUCAAAUAGCUAAAAAGGAUAAAUACAAGACGGCCUUCAAUGUCCCUUUUGGGCAUUAUGAAUGGAAUGUUUUACCUUUCGGUCUUAAAAAUGCUCCNNNNNNNNNNNNNNNNNNNNNNNNNNNNNNNNNNNNNNNNNNNNNNNNNNNNNNNNNNNNNNNNNNNNNNNNNNNNNNNNNNNNNNNNNNNNNNNNNNNNNNNNNNNNNNNNNNNNNNNNNNNNNNNNNGAUUGUUAAGUUUAAUGGUUUAGUCAUAAGUACUAAGAAAAUGAAGCUCUUUCAGACCUCCAUAAGAUUCUUAGGACAUGAUCUUUAUCAAGGUAGUUAUAAACCUAUCUGUAGGGCCAUAGAGUUCUCCUCCAAAUUCCCUAAUGAAAUUAAUGAUAAAACCCAACUUCAAAGAUUCUUAGGAAGUCUUAACUAUGUAGCAGACUUUAUCCCUAACAUUAGACAGGUCUGCGAACCUCUUUACAAAAGACUUAAAAAGACCCCGGUCCCUUGGAGUUCUGAUCAAACUAAUGUUGUCAUUGAAAUAAAGGAAUUAGUCAAGAACCUUCCCUGCCUAGGAAUUCCUAAUCCUGAAGCCUUUAUGAUUGUUGAAACUGAUGCUUCGGAUAUUGGUUAUGGAUGUAUAUUGAAACAAAAGGAAAAUACUAGUUCUUCUGAACAGUUAGUCAGAUUUACGUCUGGAAUAUGGAAUUCCGCUCAAAAGAAUUACAGUACAGUUAAAAAGGAGGUUUUAUCUAUAGUGCUAUGUAUCACCAAAUUUCAAGAUGAUCUUAUUAAUAAAUUUUUUUUACUAAGAGUAGAUUGCAAAUCUGCUAAAGAGAUUUUAGAAAAGGAUGUUAAAAAUUUGGUUUCGAAACAAAUAUUUGCUAGAUGGCAAGCUCUCCUAUCUAGCUUUGAUUUUCAAAUUGAAUUUAUCAAAGGAGAAAAUAAUUCCCUUCCCGAUUUUCUAACAAGAGAAUUCUUACAGGGCCAAAAUGAGACCNNNNNNNNNNNNNNNNNCAAACCAGAACAAACCAAGAUGGCUAGACCAUUUGAUCUCCCGUCAGCUUCAACAAAUCCCUUAAGACCAUCAGUCCCUCAGAGGCCUGCACUAAAAUCAGAACUUCAAUCACCAUUCCAAAACAAAUAUGCAGCUUUGGCAGAAUUUCCAAAGCUCCUUCUACCAAUGCCGUCUAAAUUGGUAGAUUUAAAGACUAAUAAGCCUUUUGAUAAAGGGCAAUCAUCGAGUUUAUCUAUUCAGUCCAAACAGAGUUACGCUAUGAAGGGUCCUGAAACCUUCGCACAAGCUGUAGACCCCACAGUGGUUAAACCAAUACCAACUCCUCCCAUCAAGGAAGAAUUCAAAUUCAUUACCACUCAAGUAAUGCCAAUUAUUGCUUUAGAUAAGNNNNNNNNNNNNNNNNNNNNNNNNNNNNNNNNNNNNNNNNNNNNNNNNNNNNNNNNNNNNNNNNNNNNNNNNNNNNNNNNNNNNNNNNNNNNNNNNNNNNNNNNNNNNNNNNNNNNNNNNNNNNNNNNNNNNNNNCCCAUAGGCCCUAAACCUACAAUUGGUACGACUAUAAGUCGGCAUGGUUCAAUUUUUUAUAUGUAAGACUAGGACACACCUGGUUUAUUAAAUAUUGUCCAGCUAUGGUAGAUGCCAUUAUUUCUAGAUGGUUCUAUGAAUGGUGGAUAUAUUUUGGAGGGAUUAAAGAAAUGCUUCCCCAACAGUUCUUAAACUGAUUCACUGAUUUCUGUUCAAAAGAAGGGGGUGUAACCCUCCCAGAACAUAUUCAAAUGUGCAAAUUCUUCAUCAAAAAACGAGUCUCCUACAUUAUUUAUUGGAACUUCGCUAAAGGAGAGCAAGACAGAAUAAAAUAUUUAUCCAAAGAGAUAAAGGUCAAAGGCUGGAAUCCCAAGCUAGUAGCUCCAAAAACUCCAAACAAAGAGAAAACGACAGUGUCCUCAACCAGUGCUUCACAAAAUAAGAAGGCAUUAAAAGAAAAACUAAAGAAGGCUUUAAAAGAUAUGGACAACCAAGAAAUCAAUGAAGAAGAAGUGUUACAACUUCUAGAAGAAGCUUCCUCCAUAGGAAGUAGCAAUAACAAUGGUGAUAUGCUAAAUCCUAAAGGGAUAGCUAUGGCCUAUUUGGACCCCUGUUAAGAAUAGGGAAAUGACCCUUCGAAGAAGUAGAGGUUCAAAGAACCGGAAUUACUUUUUGAAAGGGCAUUUUACUAUUCCUAACUAGAAUCCGUAGGACCAGAUGCUUUCCAAAAAGAAAAAGGACAACGCAAUCAAUCAAUACUUUCCAAAAGCAAAAGGACAAAGCAAUCAAUCAGCUUUUUAAAAGCUAAGCACUUCAGCACUAAGAAAUAAUCUUAGCCUUACAUUUUUAUGCAUUAGAUGUACUGUACUAUCUCUCUCUUGUCUAUAUAAGACUUGUUGUAAUACUAGAGAAGAAAUCAGAAAAAUUUCCUAGACAAGAAAUAUUUCCGCCUGCCUAAGCUCUUCUCUUGUAAUGUUUUAAAGUUUGAAUAAAGUGGGGGGGGGGGGGGGGGGGGGCGGUCUAGUGCGAUCCGAGGUAGUAGGGCUACCUGGAUCAUAGAGAUUCUCGGGUUCUAGGGCCUCUUGGACCCGAGUAUGUUGCUGGUAAUAAACUUUAGGAACAGGACCAGGGAAGUCAACUCCUUUAACUUUCCCUUUGUCAGUAUCAUUUUUCCUCACUUCCCUCAGGGUUUUUUGAGGUGGAAGCUCUGUGUGAGACAGAUCUUCGGAAUGAAGAAUUUCUAGAGGCAUCAAAACCUAGGAAUUCGAGAUCAAUGGAUCCGUCAGGGUGCUGAAUAACCCGUUCGAUCUGAGAUUUUUUUUGGAUAGGUAAGGAGAGGUUGAGUGAUAGCAUCAAAGUGCCACUCAUUGUUAUGCAUGAUAUCUUUCCAGAGGAUAUCUUUAGGAACAAAGAUAUUGCUUCUGUCUUUGUUGGCCUCCAUGAGGGUAGUAACGCCUCUAGGGCUCGUGAUUCUAGCUUUGGGAGCUAGUGUUGUACCCUCAAGGGAAUUUUGUGAACCAAAAUGGAGUCAUAAAGCUUUAAUUACUGAAUUUCUUCCCUACGGUCUAUUCUCAAUUCAUUUAGAUCUGAUUCUCAAUUCUGUUUCAGUAAAGAUUCGACAUAGUUUUAUACGGAUACUGCCAGAAGAUAGUGUAAAAAUUGAAGUAAGUCCUUAUGAUUCAACCAAAGGGCCUAUAAUUUAUCGACUACACAACAAUGAUUUAAAGGAUUAGGUUUUCAACUUCACCAUUCCUUUCGGGGGAAUACAAUUCGAGAUGAAAAAUUUCAAGAAACUUAUUUUCUUCCAAGAAAUAGAUUAAGAAUUAAGGUAAGGAAUGAAAAAUAUGAAAAUAAGAGAUUCCGUUCGUAAAAUUUGUGAAAAAUGUUGACUAAUUUGCAGGCGGGGACCAAUUAUAGUAAUUUGUUCCAAUCCGAGACAUAAACAAAGACUGGGAUAAUCAGACUUUCCAGAAGAACCGAUGUAUAAAUAAAGAAUCUGUUUUGACAUGAAAUGGAUAUAUCCAUAUAUCUCUGACUCAUAUUUAUGAGAUGAUAAAAUAUGGCAAAAGCUAUACCGAAAAUUAGUUUGCUUAGGAAUGGAUGUAUUGGUUCACGUAAGGGUGCACGUAGAAUACCAAAGGGAGUUAUUCAUGUUCAAGCAAGUUUCAAUAAUACCAUUGUCACUGUUACAGAUGUACGGGGUCAAGUAGUUUCUUGGUCCUCCGCUGGUACUUCUGGAUUCAAAGGUAUGAGAAGAGGAACACCGUUUGCAGCUUAAACUGCAGCUGAAAACACUAUCCAUACCGUAGUGGAUCAAGGUAUGCAACGAGUAGAUGUCAUGAUAAAAGGUCCCAGUCUCAGAAGAGAUGCAACAUUACGAGCUAUUCGUUGAAGUGGUAUACUAUUAACUUUCGUACGGGAUGUAACUCCUAUGCCACAUAAUGGUUGUAGACCUCCGAAAAAAAGACGUGUGUAGAGAUAAACAUUGAAGAAAUCUCAAGAGAAAUAAAAGAUUUGAUGAUCUAAUUAACAAGCGAUUCGUUGAAGUGGUAUACUAUUAACUUUCGUACGGGAUGUAACUCCUAUGCCACAUAAUGGUUGUAGACCUCCGAAAAAAAGACGUGUGUAGAGAUAAACAUUGAAGAAAUCUCAAGAGAAAUAAAAGAUUCGAUGAUCUAAUCAAAUAAUAGUACUAUGGUUCGAGAGAAAGUAACAGUAUCUACUCGGACACUACAGUGGAAGUGUGUUGAAUCAAGAACAGACAGUAAACGCCUUUAUUAUGGACGCUUUAUUCUGUCUCCACUUAUGAAAGGCCAUGCCGACACAAUAGGCAUUGCGAUGCGCAGAGCUUUACUUGGAGAAAUAGAAGGAACAUGUAUCACACGUGUAAAAUCUGAGAAAGUCCCACAUGAAUAUUCUACCAUAACGGGCAUUCAAGAAUCGGUACAUGAAAUUUUAAUGAAUUUGAAAGAAAUUGUAUUGAGAAGUAAUCUAUAUGGAACUUCUGACGCGUCUAUUUGUGUCAAGGGUCCUGGAUAUGUAACUGCUCAAGAUAUCAUCUUGCCGCCUUAUGUAGAAACCGUUGAUAAUACACAACAUAUAGCUAGUUUAACAGAACCAAUUGAUUUUUGUAUUGGAUUACAAAUAGAGAGAAAUCGUGGAUAUCUUAUAAAAACGCCACAUAACUUUCAAGAUGGAAGUUAUCCUAUAGAUGCUGUAUUCAUGCCUGUUCGAAACGCGAAUCAUAGUAUUCAUUCUUAUGGGAAUGGAAAUGAAAAACAAGAGAUACUUUUUAUCGAAAUAUGGACAAACGGAAGUUUAACUCCGAAAGAAGCACUUCAUGAAGCAUCCCGAAAUUUAAUUGAUUUAUUUAUUCCCUUUUUACAUAUGGAGGAAGACAAUUUAUAUUUACAGGACAAUCAACACACGGUUCCUUUAUCCCCUUUUACCUUUCAUGAUAAAUUGGCUAAACUCAUAAAAAACAAAAAAAAAAUAGCAUUGAAAUCGAUUUUUAUUGACCAAUCAGAAUUGCCUUCCAGGAUCUAUAAUUGCCUCAAAAUGUCCAAUAUAUAUACAUUAUUGGACCUUUUGAAUAACAGCCAAGAAGAUCUUAUGAAAAUUGAACAUUUUCGUAGCGAAGAUAUAAAACAGAUAUUGGGCACUUUAGAAAAAUAUUUCGUAAUUGAUUUAGCAAAAAAUAAGUUUUAAAUCUAUUGGACUUAUUUAGUCAAAAUAGAUUGAAAUCUUUAGCACAAUUAAUAUAUCAUAUAUUAUAUUAGAAAUAAAUUCAGAAUUAAAUUGACUAGAUGUAUCUAGGGAGAAUUCGCUUUGAAGAAACUAUUCCCUAGAUACACAUGUCGUGUUAUUUCACAAUUGAAUCAAUUAAAAAUAAAAAAUUUAAAAAAGACCUAAAGUUAGGGAUUUAUCAAUAGGUAAUGUUGCACCAAUGCCCAACCAAAGGGCGACUGCGGUACCAAUCAAAAAGACAGUCGUCGCUACUGGACGGCGAAAUGGAUUUUGGAAUUUAUUAACAUUCUCUAAAAAAGGUACUAUUAAUAAUCCCGCAGGUACUGAAACCAUUAAAAGAACCCCCAACAAUUUAUUGGGCACUGUACGAAGUAUUUGAAAUACAGGAAAGAAAUACCAUUCAGGUAAGAUUUCCAAAGGGGUUGCAAAUGGAUCUGCCGGUUCACCAAUCAUUGAUGGUUCUAAAACGGCUAAGCCUACAUUACAUGCAAUAGUACCUAGAAUUACUACUGGAAAAAUAUAUAAAAGAUCAUUGGGCCAU